rnacentral:rRNA from 1 species
GAUGAACGCUGGCGGCAUGCCUUACACAUGCAAGUCGAACGGUAACAGGUCUUCGGAUGCUGACGAGUGGCGACCGGGUGAGUAAUACAUCGGAACGUGCCCGAUCGUGGGGGAUAACGAAGCGAAAGCCUUGCUAAUCCCGCAUUAGAUCUUAGGAGGAAAGCAGGGGACCGCCAGGCCUUGCGCGAACGGAGCGGCCGAUGGCAGAUUAGGUAGUUGGGGGGAUAGAAGCUUACCAAGCCGACGAUCUGUAGCUCGUCUGAGGGGUCGACCAGCCACACUGGGACUGAGACACGGCCCAGACUCCUACGGGAGGCAGGAGUGGGGAAUUUUGGACAAUGGGCGAAAGCCUGAUCCAGCCAUGCCGCGUGCAGGAUGAAGGCCUUCGGGUUGUGAACUGCUUUUGUACGGAACGAAAAGACUCUUUCUAAUAAAGAGGGUCCAUGACGGUACCGUAAGAAUAAGCACCGGCUAACUACGUGCCAGCCGCCGCAGUAA